rnacentral:rRNA from 1 species
UGGGGAAUCUUGGACAAUGGGGGAAACCCUGAUCCAGCGACGCCGCGUGAUCGAUGAAGGCCUUCGGGUCGUAAAGAUCUUUCAGCGGGGACUAUAGUGAAGGUACCCGCAGAAGCAGGAGCGGCUAACUACGUGCCAGCAGCCGCGGUAAUACGUAGGCUCCAAGCGUUGUUCGGAAUUACUGGGCGUAAAGCGAGUGUAGGCGGUCGGCCAAGUCGAUUGUGAAAUCUCCCGGCUCAACUGGGAGGGUGCGGUCGAAACUGGCGGACUCGAGUGCGAGAGGGGAGAGUGGAAUUCCUGGUGUAGCGGUGAAAUGCGUAGAUAUCAGGAGGAACACCGGUGGUGAAGACGGCUCUCUGGAUCGCAACUGACGCUGAGACUCGAAAGCGUGGGGAGCAAACAGGAUUAGAUACCCCCGUAGUCC